AUGCCUUAAACUGAUGAGUAAGGAAAAUAACGAUGCGGGGUGACGCCCGCGUCCCUCGUGAACUUACGAGAAGAAUUUUUGUAAGGGCUCAGGUCCGACCACGGAGGUGACUUGCCUACUUUGCGAGAUGCCUCUUGGUACUAGGAUCUGCCCC